rnacentral:rRNA from 1 species
UACGGAGGGCGCAAACGUUGCUCGGAAUCAUUGGGCGUAAAGCGCUCGUAGGCGGUCCAGCAAGUCGGGUGUGAAAGCCCUCGGCUUAACCGAGGAAGUGCAUUCGAAACUACUGGACUUGAAUACUGAAGAGGAUCGCGGAAUUCCCGGUGUAGAGGUGAAAUGCGUAGAUAUCGGGAGGAACACCAGUGGCGAAGGCGGCGAUCUGGGCAGAUAUUGACGCUGAGGUGCGAAAGCGUGGGGAGCAAACAGG